rnacentral:rRNA from 1 species
CGCGUAGGCGGCUAUUUAAGUCAGGGGUGAAAUCCCGGAGCUCAACUCCGGAACUGCCCUUGAAACUGGAUAGCUAGAAUACUGGAGAGGUGAGUGGAAUUCCGAGUGUAGAGGUGAAAUUCGUAGAUAUUCGGAAGAACACCAGUGGCGAAGGCGACUCACUGGACAGUUAUUGACGCUGAGGUGCGAAAGCGUGGGGAGCAAACA